AGUGAACGCUGGCGGUAGGCCUAACACAUGCAAGUCGAACGGCAGCACAGUAAGAGCUUGCUCUUACGGGUGGCGAGUGGCGGACGGGUGAGGAAUAAAUCGGAAUCUACUUUUUCGUGGGGGAUAACGUAGGGAAACUUACGCUAAUACCGCAUACGACCUACGGGUGAAAGCAGGGGAUCUUCGGACCUUGCGCGAUUGAAUGAGCCGAUGUCGGAUUAGCUAGUUGGCGGGGUAAAGGCCCACCAAGGCGACGAUCCGUAGCUGGUCUGAGAGGAUGAUCAGCCACACUGGAACUGAGAGACGGUCCAGACUCCUACGGGAGGCAGCAGUGGGGAAUAUUGGACAAUGGGCGCAAGCCUGAUCCAGCGAUACCGCGUGGGUGAAGAAGGCCUUCGGGUUGUAAAGCCCUUUUGUGGGGAAAGAAAAGCAGCAGGUUAAUACCCCGCUGUUCUGACGGUACCCAAAGAAUAAGCACCGGCUAACUUCGUG
rnacentral:rRNA from 1 species